rnacentral:rRNA from 1 species
CCUAAAAACUUAGCGGCGGACGGGUGAGUAACGCGUGGGAAACCUGCCUUGUAGAGGGGGAUAGCCUCGGGAAACCGGGAUUAAUACCCCAUGAUACUUAAGUAUCGCAUGAUACUGAAGUCAAAACUCCGGUGCUACAAGAUGGUCCCGCGUCCCAUUAGCUAGUUGGCGAGAUAACAGCUCACCAAGGCGACGAUGGGUAGCCGACCUGAGAGGGUGAUCGGCCACAUUGGGACUGAGACACGGCCCAAACUCCUACGGGAGGCAGCAGUGGGGAAUAUUGCGCAAUGGGGGAAACCCUGACGCAGCAACGCCGCGUGAGCGAAGAAGGCCUUCGGGUCGUAAAGCUCUGUCUUAAGGGAUGAAGAAUUGACAGUACCUUAAGAGGAAGCCCCGGCUAACUACGUGCCAGCAGCCGCGGUAAUACGUAGGGGGCAAGCGUUGUCCGGAAUCACUGGGCGUAAAGGGUGCGUAGGCGGUAAGUUAAGUCAGAUGUGAAAGUCCAGGGCUCAACCGUGGAACUGCAUUUGAAACUGACUUACUUGAGUGCAGGAGAGGAG